rnacentral:rRNA from 1 species
AGCAGCCGCGGUAAUUCCAGCCCCAAUAGCGUAUAUUAAAGUUGUUGCAGUUAAAAAGCUCGUAGUUGAAUUUCGGGAUCAUCAGGUCGGUCGUGCCUCCGGUAUGUACUGGUCUCGGUGGUUCCUCCUUCUUGUAGAACCGUAAUGCCAUUAAUUUGGUGUUGCGGGAAAACAGGACUGUUACUUUGAAAAAAUUAGGGUGUUUAAAGCAGGCGAUCGCUUGAAUACAUUAGCAUGGAAUAAUGAAAUAGGACGUUCGAUCCUAUUUUGUUGGUUUCUAGGAUUGACGUUAAUGAUUAAUAGGGAUAGUUGGGGGCAUUAGUGUUCAAUUGUCAGAGGUGAAAUUCUUGGAUUUAUUGAAGACUAACUACUGCGAAAGCAUUUGCCAAGGAUGUUUUCAUUAAUCAAGAACGAAAGUUAGGGGAUCGAAGACGAAUCGAGAUACCGUCGUAGUCUUAACCAUAAACUAUGCCGACUAGGGAUCGGAUGAUGUUAAUUUUUUAAUGACUCAUUUCGGCGC